rnacentral:rRNA from 1 species
CCUACGGGCGGCUGCAGUGAGGAAUAUUGGUCAAUGGGCGUAAGCCUGAACCAGCCAAGUCGCGUGAGGGAUGAAGGUUCUAUGGACCGUAAACCUCUUUUAUAAGGGAAUAAAGUGCGGGACGUGUCCCGUUUUGUAUGUACCUUAUGAAUAAGGAACGGCGAACUCCGUGCCAGCAGCCGCGGUAAUACGGAGGAUCCGGGCGUUAACCGGAUUUAGUGGGUUUAAAGGGUGCGUAGGCGGCCUUUUAAGUCAACGGUGAAAGUCUGUGGAUCAACCAUAGAAUUGCCGUUGAAACUGGGAGACUUGAGUGUGUUUGAGGCAUGGGGAAUGCGUGGUGUAGCGGUGAAAUGCUUAGAUAUCACGCAGAACCCCAGUUGCGAAGGCGGCCUGCCAAGCCAUGACUGACGCUGAUGCACGAAAGCGUGGGUAUCAAACAGGAUUAGAUACCCUGGUAGUC